rnacentral:rRNA from 1 species
ACUACGGGGGGCAGCAGUGGGGAAUAUUGCACAAUGGGGGAAACCCUGAUGCAGCGACGCCGCGUGAGUGAAGAAGGAUUUCGGUAUGGAAAGCUCUAUCAGCAGGGAAGAGAAUGACGGUACCUGACUAAGAAGCCCCGGCUAACUACGUGCCAGCAGCCGCGGUAAUACGUAGGGGGCAAGCGUUAUCCGGAUUUACUGGGUGUAAAGGGGGCGUAGGUGGCAGGGCAAGUCAGAUGUGAAAGCCCGGGGCUCCACCCCGGUACUGCAUUUGAAACUGUCCAGCUGGAGUGCAGGAGAGGUAAGCGGAAUUCCUAGUGUAGCGGUGAAAUGCGUAGAUAUUAGGCGGAACACCAGUGGCGAAGGCGGCUUACUGGACUGUAUCUGACACUGAGGCACGAAAGCGUGGGGAGCAAACAGGAUUAGAUACCCGAGUAGUC